GGGGGUAUAGCUCAGGGGUAGAGCAUUUGACUGCAGAUUAAGAGGUCCCUGGUUCAAAUCCAGGUGCCCCCU
rnacentral:tRNA from 2 species